rnacentral:rRNA from 1 species
CCUACGGGUGGCAGCAGUGAGGAAUAUUGCGCAAUGGCCGAAAGGCUGACGCAGCGACGCCGCGUGAGGGAUGAAGUCCGUUAGGAUGUAAACCUCUUUUGCAGGGGAUGAAUGUCUCGCUAUACGCGGGAUUGACCGUACCCUGCGAAUAAGGAUCGGCUAACUACGUGCCAGCAGCCGCGGUAAUACGUAGGAUCCGAGCGUUGUCCGGAGUGUCAGGGUGUAAAAGGCGUGUAGGUGGAUUCGUGGUGAAAUCCCGCAGCUUAACUGCGGAAUUGCCUUCGAUACUGGGGAUCUUGAGUACGGCAGAGGGAGAUGGAAUUCAUGGUGUAGCGGUGAAAUGUGUAGAUAUCAUGAAGAACACCGGUAGCGAAGGCGGUCUCCUGGUCCGUAACUGACACUGAUGCGCGAAAGCGUGGGGAGCGAACAGGAUUAGAUACCCCUGUAGUC